rnacentral:rRNA from 1 species
UGGGGAAUCUUAGACAAUGGGCGCAAGCCUGAUCUAGCCAUGCCGCGUGAUCGAUGAAGGCCUUAGGGUUGUAAAGAUCUUUCGUGGGGGAAGAUAAUGACGGUACCCCAAGAAGAAGCCCCGGCUAACUCCGUGCCAGCAGCCGCGGUAAUACGGAGGGGGCUAGCGUUAUUCGGAAUUACUGGGCGUAAAGCGCACGUAGGCGGAUUGGAAAGUCAGAGGUGAAAUCCCAGAGCUCAACUUUGGAACUGCCUUUGAAACUCCCAGUCUUGAGGUCGAGAGAGGUGAGUGGAAUUCCGAGUGUAGAGGUGAAAUUCGUAGAUAUUCGGAGGAACACCAGUGGCGAAGGCGGCUCACUGGCUCGAUACUGACGCUGAGGUGCGAAAGCGUGGGGAGCAAACAGGAUUAGAUACCCCGGUAGUCC